UCUCAAGCCACUCGCUUCCCCAGUCGCUUCACUGGCCAUAACCAAGACACGAAUUAGACCACCCCAACGGUAGAUAAAAAGGACCACGGUCAGUGACGGAUUCAGAAACUUUUUUGAGGAGGUGCAAAAAUAUAAAAAAAUUCAUACUGUUUUUACGACCUACCUACCAUGUGAUUAGUUAGUUAAGUCAUCACAAGGGUGUGGUGCGAAGACUUUGUGUAGGUGAAUCACGCGGGUGUGUAUGCGUCUUCAGGCAGCUUGGUUACCCUAUAUGUAUAAACCAUCGUCUAUGCAUUAUUUACUCAGAUGAAAGUUGAGUGUUUCUAAAAUCGGCUGCAAUGUCUUCACAACGAAGUUUUCUACUCAAUAUAAUUGGUAGUAGUGUUGAGUAAAAAAAGGAGAAGCUACGGAUUAUCAUCGCGCAUUUUAACACCCUAUAUAUACAACCCAUCUCUAUCUUUAUGGAUAUUUCCAAGAUCUUAUCCUCUCUUGAUACCCUAACUUCACAUUUUUAUUACUCUACAAUGCCAAACCACAGUUCUAAUAGAUCCAUGUCUAAAUCGGCUGAAUUAUAUAUAGUUUACUAUGCUUAAACCAGUUCUUAUGACAUGUCUAACCAAGUUGAUGUGUCCAACCCGGACAUAUCAAAUAAAAUUCAUGAGGAAACCGAUGAACUUGGCACCCAAGAACAAAUAUCUUUUCAAGCCACCCCCGAUCCUAAAAGGGGAGUAAGGCAACUUCAUGAUCCUCGUGGCUUUAAGGUUGUACAUGUGUAGUCGUAUCUCGCCACACAUCAAAAUACACACAAGUCAUUUGCCUCAAGUAUUUGGAACAGGAAUCUGUCUUCCGGUGCCACCGUGCUUUUCGGAAAUGUCUUGUUGGAAACCAACACCAUAACCAAAUGUAAAGCACACACAUUCUCGAUGUAACUUCUAAAAAUGGGCAGAAUGCCAUGGUCGAACUCCGUGUGGAAAAUUGCGAGUCCUUCAACAGGACUAAUGUUUUUGCCAAUACUAAUGCUUAUUAUUUCUUGGUUUGUAACUUUCUUAUUGAGCUCAGAUUUGCUUUUUGCUCAAUAAAAAAGUUACAAACCAAGAAAUAAUGAACAUUAGUAUUGACAAAAACAUUAGUCGUGUUAGGACUCACAAUUUUCCACACGGAGUUCGACCAUGACAUUCCGCCCAUUUUUAGAAGUUACAUCGAGAAUGUGCGUGCUUUACAUUCAGUUAUGGUGUGGGUUUCGACAAGACAUUUCUGAAAAGCACGGUGGCACCGGAAGACAGAUUCCUGUUCUAAAUACUCAAGGCAAAUGACUUGUGUGUAUUUAGAUGUGUGGUGAGAUACGGCUACACAUGCACAACCUUGAAUCCACAAUGAUCAUGAAGUUGCCUUACUCCCCUUUGAGGAUCGGGGGUGGCUUGAAAAACUAUUUGUUCCUGGGUGCUAAGUUCAUCGGUUUCCUUUGGAUUUCAGUUGAUAUGUCUGGGUUGGACACAUCAGCUUGGUUAGACAUAUCAUGAGAAUUGUUUUGAGCGUGUUCAUCUACAUAUACUUUGGCCGAAUUAGACAUUGAACUAUUAGAACUGUGGUUUGACAUUGUGGAGUAAUAAAAGUGUAAAGUUAGGGUAUGAAGACAGGAGAAGAUGUUGGAGAUAUCCAUAGAGAUGAGUUAUAUAUAGGGACGUUAAAAUGUGUGAUGAUUCUUAGCUUCUUUUUUUUUUACUGCAAGAAAUUGAAUAUGGAUGAAUCAUGUACACCACAUUAUCAAAAGAUUAUGUUGUAACAAGAAUUAGGCAAGUGCAACCAAAGAAAGCUAAUAGGUUAGUUAGAGACGGGUACUUGUUAUAUCUUUUUAUUUAUGAGAACAACUACUGAGAUGUAAUAUGAGGCUGUGGUAAUUUAAUGAAUUUACAAUAUUGCAUUAUCGAAUUUGUGGAGUUUGCAAACAGUAAGAAGUAUAAAAGAACUUCAGUCAUGUAUAACAAAACAAAUAUUUAAAAGUAGUGGAACGAAGAAAUCAUAUAAAUUUUACGUCAACACUACAACAAAUUGUUUUAACUAGUUGAAUUACUCACACGUUACGGCGAGUCUUCGGUAGAUUUUGUUUCACUUGUUACAUUUUUGGGUACGAUAUACACACUCGGUAUAAAAAUUGUAAUAAAUAUGUCUAAGAUGAAAUCUACCCGUGUUUUACAUUGAUCGAAAAACGUAAAAAACGAAUGCCAGCACAACACUUUUCUUGACGCGCAAGAGCAUGGCAAA